UACGAAGGGGGCUAGCGUUGUUCGGAAUUACUGGGCGUAAAGGGCGCGUAGGCUGUGCUGUAAGUCAGGCGUGAAAUCCCCGGGCUCAACCUGGGAAUUGCGCAUGAUACUGCGGCGCUUGAAGACGGGAGAGGAUGGCGGAAUUCCCAGUGUAGAGGUGAAAUGCGUAGAUAUGGGGAAGAACACCGGUGGCGAAGGCGGCCAUCUGGACCGGCACUGACGCUGAGGCGCGAAAGCCAGGGGAGCAAACGGG
rnacentral:rRNA from 1 species